ensembl:lincRNA
UGAAGCCCUCCCAGAAGGCCCUGUCACUAUAAGCUGAGGACCUCCUUGGGCAAAGACCAACUCUGACUCCAGCUCUGAAUUCCAUUGCAGCCAAAUGGAUUUUUCUCGUCCCUCGGCCCUUGGUUGUUUUUCUUAACAUUUUUUAUUUCCAACCUACCCCUAGGUUUUCAGUGGCUUCCUUUGAAUCAGUAAGCAGCCCUGCCAGUGCAGAGCACGUGCCUUUGCUUCUGCCCCAGUGCCUUCCUAACAGUCCAGAGACAACCAUGCCCCACCAAGCCAAAGCCAGGACACCCUCUGGGUUCCUCAUGCUCUGCCCAAGAACACUGUGCCACAGUGAGUGCCAGCCUCACCAAUUUCUCCAGACAGAAUGCCAAUGCAGAGCCAGGCACUGUCCCGGGGAAGUGAUUUGGCUCUGCCCUUCAGAACAGCCGUGACCACAGUGAUUGUCAUUGAGAUGUGUCAUGAGAACUCAGUGAGAUGAUGCCCAUCACGUUUUUCUAUAACCCUCUAAUUCAGUAGACACAAAAUUAAUCUUCUUUUUACUCUGCUAUCUUUCACUUUC